rnacentral:lncRNA from 1 species
GUCGGAAUUGGUCUUUAACAUAAUUUUUUAGGAGUGAAAUUUGUUUAAAUUUAAAUUAUAGAAAGUUUGUAUUUUUUAUUUAAAAAAAAUAUAAUUAAAUAGGAUAGUGAGUCAACCCGUUUACCCACCAACCCGUGGUGGGUCGGAUCGGAUUCAAAUUUUUCUGACUCGCUAAUAAAUGAGCCGAGUUGGAUUGGCUCACUAAGUGACCAACCCGUGGUGGGCCGGGC